AUGGUAGUGGUGGACUAAUAAGUGGCGGUGAUGUAUCUGGUCCAAACGUUUGCGUCACUAAAAUUUGGCAUCACUGAGCCAAUCCAUGUCCUCCCUUGAUGCAGAUAUGAAACUGGAGACCCUAUUGGUGUUUAUGCUGAGAAUGGUAAUGAAACCAUUGAAAAAGCAAGCAACUUAUUGGCUCAACCCUUGGAUUUGCUGUUUUCACUUCAUACCAACAAAGAGGAUGGGACUCCACUGCCAAGCUCAUUACCACCCCCUUUCCCUAGGCCUUGUACCCUGCGCAAUGCAAUAGAACGCUAUGCAGAUCUCUUGAAUCCUCUUAGAAAGAUUGUUUAAGUCUUGAUCAUCUUGUAUCUUUUGCCUUCAUUGUACUUGAAGUUUGAGAUAUUUGGGUUUUGUCUUUUGGUACUUUCAGGCUAGUCUUGUUGCUUUGGCUGCUCAUGCAUCU